UCAGCAUAAUUUUCUGUGAUGCAUUUACUUGUUUGGUGCUUGGGGAUGUUUGAGGCASAUUUGGUUCCGGCGUUUUGAGGCCAGCUUGCUGGUACCCAAACGGUGUUAGCAUUUUUUGUCUUGGGCAUUUGAGUAUGGCUCACGKGUAUUUAUUGGACCGAUCUGAGUGAAAGUUACGGUCGCAUGCGACACGUGCUUUUCGAUUAGCCCGGUCCAGUUAAUGCUCUCGAACUCCUUCCCCAUGGAAAAGCCGGCCAUCUAUCCGACCCGUCUUGAAACGCGGACCAAGGAGUUUAUCGUGUGCGCAAGUUUUUGGGUGUUAAAAACCUAAAAGCGAAAUGAAAGAAAAUGACUCAUUAUAGGCUGAUGGGCGAUCUUGUAAAAAAGUGCAGCAUGGCCCCAUUCUAACUGUUUACAGGASGGUGGAGGAAGAGCGUACGCGGUGAGACCCGAAAGAUGGAGAACUAUUCCUGAGCAGGACGAAGCCAGAGGAAACUCUGGUGGAAGUCCGAAGCGGUUCUGACGUGCAAAUCGAUCGUCUGACUUGGGUAUAGGGGCGAA
rnacentral:rRNA from 1 species